GUCAUUCCAGCACAUUAAAUAUUAUCAUUUGGGCCCAAUAAAUUAAAGCGGGCCUGAUCAACGAUAGCCCACAUCCACAUCAUAUAAAAUAUCUGUUCGAAAUUCAAAUUCAAAUCACAACCCAUUCAAAAUUCAAUUUUUGAAUUUCGAAUUUCGAAUUCCCAACAAUUCCCAAAAUAUCAUCCAACAACCCAUUCGAAAUUUGAUUUCGAAUUUCGAAUUCCCAACCAAUUCCCAAAACAUCAUCCAACAACCCAUUCGAAAUUCGAUUUCGAAUUUCGAAUUCCCAACUAAUUUCCAAAACAUCCUCCAACAACCCAUUCAAAAUUUGAUUUCAAAUUUCGAAUUAAUCCUCAAAAUACCCUCCAACCAACCAACAACCCAGUCAAAAUUCGAUUUCGAAUUUUGAAUUCCCUAACCAAUUCCCAAAAUAUCAUCCAACAACCCAUUCGAAAUUCGAUUUCGAAUUUCGAAUUCACAACCAAUUUCCAAAACAUCCUCCAACAACCCAUUCAAAAUUUGAUUUCAAAUUUCGAAUCAAUCCUCAAAAUACCCACCAACCAUCCAACAACUCAUUCAAAAUUCGAUUUCGAAUUUUGAAUUUCCAACCAAUCCCAAAUAUCUUUCAACCAAUCACAACAACCUAUUCAAAAUUUAAUUUUGAAUUUCGAAUUCCUCAAAAUAUCUCUUACCACCCCUCCCAUUAUAAAUACGAGAAUCGAGAUCAAUAUG
rnacentral:lncRNA from 1 species